rnacentral:rRNA from 1 species
GAUCAUGGCUCAGGAUGAACGCUAGCUACAGGCUUAACACAUGCAAGUCGAGGGGAAACGAUAUUGGAAGCUUGCUUCCGAUAGGCGUCGACCGGCGCACGGGUGAGUAACGCGUAUCCAACCUGCCCACCACUUGGGGAUAGGCCUUGCGAAAGUAAGACUAAUACCCAAUGAUAUCUCUAGAAGACAUCUGAAAGAGAUUAAAGAUUCAUCGGUGAUGGAUGGGAUGCGU